rnacentral:rRNA from 1 species
AACGAACGCUGGCGGCAUGCCUAAUACAUGCAAGUCGAACGAACACUUCGGUGUUAGUGGCGCACGGGUGCGUAACGCGUGGGAAUCUGCCCUUGGGUUCGGAAUAACUUCGGGAAACUGAAGCUAAUACCGGAUGAUGACGUAAGUCCAAAGAUUUAUCGCCCAAGGAUGAGCCCGCGUAGGAUUAGGUAGUUGGUGAGGUAAAGGCUCACCAAGCCUACGAUCCUUAGCUGGUCUGAGAGGAUGAUCAGCCACACUGGGACUGAGACACGGCCCAGACUCCUACGGGAGGCAGCAGUAGGGAAUAUUGGACAAUGGGGGCAACCCUGAUCCAGCAAUGCCGCGUGAGCGAUGAAGGCCUUAGGGUUGUAAAGCUCUUUUACCCGAGAUGAUAAUGACAGUAUCGGGAGAAUAAGCCCCGGCUAACUCCGUGCCAGCCGCCGCGGUAA